GAAAUUCUAACCGACAUGNCGAUNUUAUGUCAUCNAAAUUGGGCCGUUGNUUUCUAUAGGAUCUCACACUGAGACCGCUCGUCGGUACAGCCUAACACAUGCAAGUCGAACGGCAGCACAGGAGAGCUUGCUCUCUGGGUGGCGAGUGGCGGACGGGUGAGGAAUACAUCGGAAUCUACUCUGUCGUGGGGGAUAACGUAGGGAAACUUACGCUAAUACCGCAUACGACCUACGGGUGAAAGCAGGGGAUCUUCGGACCUUGCGCGAUUGAAUGAGCCGAUGUCGGAUUAGCUAGUUGGCGGGGUAAAGGCCCACCAAGGCGACGAUCCGUAGCUGGUCUGAGAGGAUGAUCAGCCACACUGGAACUGAGACACGGUCCAGACUCCUACGGGAGGCAGCAGUGGGGAAUAUUGGACAAUGGGCGCAAGCCUGAUCCAGCCAUACCGCGUGGGUGAAGAAGGCCUUCGGGUUGUAAAGCCCUUUUGUUGGGAAAGAAAUCCAGCUGGCUAAUACCUGGUUGGGAUGACGGUACCCAAAGAAUAAGCACCGGCUAAC
rnacentral:rRNA from 1 species